GGUUUUUCUUUACUCAAUAAUUCAUACAGUAUAUAUUACAAAAUUUAACUAUGACGUCAUGUGGCUGUGACGUCAUGUGCAAACGCUCUAUUUACCAAUUGUGUGACUUUGUAUGCUGGUAUGAUAUGGUAUGAUAUAAUUCGAAAUUAUACAGAGUGUCCCCCAAAAAGGUGACACUGUAGUAGAAAUUAUCCUAUUGUUGUUGAUUUCAUGCGCCUGGUAAUUAAAAAUGCAACUUCAAUUGUGUUUACGAACUCUUGUGUUGAGCAAAGUGCUCAGUCAUUCAAAUAUAACAAUAGCAUAAUUUCUAUAGUGUCACUGUUUUGGGAAAACCCUAUCCAAUCACUCGUCACGAUUUAUGCGCAUGGUAAUUUUUUGCCAAAUUGCAUGAAUUUCUUAACAUCGGGAAAGAAGCUCUGUCGGCACAUGUGUUGAAAAUCGUCGAAAAUCGUAGGAAAUCUUCUUUCAAAGUUGUCCAAAAUGUUACAGUCAAUACAACAUACGCUUAUUUCAUCUUUUGUCUUCACAAUUCGUGGUAUCAUGAAGAAAUUGGACGGAAAUCACCAAUUACAUCUGAACGUGUUUGCGACUCGACGUGUGCGGCUGAGCCUGAGGUAUACAAAUGUUAUGCUUUGUUUAUAAAAAUAGAACUAUACUAUGUCUAUGCUGAAAUGACUAUGUCUAAGAAAAUCCGGUAGGUUUAUCCCCACAUAUUUCCGCUAUAUCAAUGUGUUCGUUGCAAACGAUUUACUGAAAUUUCUGCAUGGUAUAGUUUGUACUGCUGCUAGUUAUGAGUAAAUCGCCAUUGUGGUGGAACAAAGUCUUGUCCAAACACCGGUGUUCAUUGUUUUAAACUGAAGAAUGGCACUUUCAUAUUCAAC